UCAGCUUUCUAUCAAAGCCAAAGGAGUCAAGAGUUCCUUGUGCUUCUAUUCCUGCUUUUUCCCUUUGUUGCUAAUCACAUUUUCUUCAAUUUUUGUUUCUGUUCUCAAGUUUUUAACACAAGUAUUCUCAAAAUGAAGAUAGUUGUGUUGAAAUUGGAUUUGCACGAUGGUAAGUGCAGACAAAAAGCCUUGAAGAUAGCCUCUGGCCUUGAAGGGGUUCAUUCAGUUUCCAUGGACAGACCAAAAAUUGACUGUGACAGGAGACGUUGAUCCAGUGAUGGCGGUGAAGAAACUAAAGAAGCUGUGUUGCACAGAGUUAGUUUCGG